AACGAACGCUGGCGGCAUGCCUAACACAUGCAAGUCGAACGAGACCUUCGGGUCUAGUGGCGCACGGGUGCGUAACGCGUGGGAACCUGCCCUUAGGUUCGGAAUAACUCCCCGACAGGGGUGCUAAUACCGGAUAAUGUCUUCGGACCAAAGAUUUAUCGCCUUUGGAUGGGCCCGCGUUGGAUUAGCUAGUUGGUAGGGUAAAAGCCUACCAAGGCGACGAUGCAUAGCUGGUCUGAGAGGAUGAUCAGCCACACUGGGACUGAGACACGGCCCAGACACCGAGGGGAGGCAGCAGGAGGGAAUCUGCCGCAAUGGGCGAAGGCCGGACGGAGCAACGCGGCGUGAGGGAUGAAGGUCUGCGGAGCGUAAAACUCUGUUAUUAGGGAAGAACAAAUGGGUAAGUAACUAUGCACGUCAUGACGGUACCUAAGCAGAAAGCCACGGCUAACUACGUG
rnacentral:rRNA from 1 species